GGCGUUUAGACUUGAACCUGGGGAUGCUUGUCUACUCGAAGUCCAACUCCGAAUAUGGCUUGGAUUUGUUCCAGAGAGGGUGAAAGCCCCGUACGGGUAGACAUACUUGUUUUAAAGCAUUCCUUAGAUGUUCAGGUCUUCGAGUCGGAUUGCUUGAGAAUGCAGUCCAAAGUGGGUGGUAAACUCCAUCCAAGGCUAAAUACUGGCACGAGUCCGAUAGUAGACAAGUACCGCGAGGGAAAGUUGAAAAGUACUCUGAAGAGAGAGUAAAUAGUACGUGAAGCCGCCUGUAUGGAAGCUGGUGGAGUCAAGCUUCUUAUUGUGGGAAUUGUCAUGGAGACGCAUCUUUUCGUGGAUUAGGGUGUCAUUGGCUUGGAAAUCGCCUGACGGUUCGCCGUUUCUAGUGUUCCGGGCAGUAUGCUUGUUGUGACGCCUGAUCUCCAGUCUCUUAUGUUAUUUCCCAUAAUAGUUAUCACAGUCAAUGUGUAUCGUUAUGCGUGGUAGUUAAACCAGGUUUUAGUGAGUUUAACGCUCACUAGGCUUGGGAUGGCAGGUGGAUGUAUUCCGGCUCGUCUGGUUUACUUCGUAUACUAGCUUCGGCUUGCUGACUAUCAUGCGUCAAUAAUUGUGCAUAUUGUUCCUAUUGUGACAGUGUCCGCAAUGGUAGCUGUCAUAGAGAGCUGUGGUAUUGAGGUAGACGUUCCAUCCGACCCGUCUUGAAACACGGACCAAGGAGUUUAACAUUUCCGCGAGUCAAUG
rnacentral:rRNA from 1 species